rnacentral:rRNA from 1 species
CAUGGCGGCGGAGAAGGGGCUGGACAUGGCGGAGGAGAAGGGGCCGGACAUGGCGGUGGAGAGAACGACAUGGACUCCAUGCAGCAGAGUUCGUCGGUACUAAGUUCAAUUGUGCGGGACCCUCAUGUUCAAGCAUUGCUUCGCAAGGAGACGAGUACUGAGAGAGCUGCUUCUAGAGAGGAGGCUAAGCUGGAGCAACUGGUGGUAGACUCGAACACUCCAUUGUAUGAUGGCUGCAAUCCUGAGGUGACCCGCUUGAGUUUCACGCUCCAACUCCUGAAGACGAAGGCUAAAAACAAAUGGACCGACACUAGCCUCGAUGAGCAUCUCAUGUACCUAAAGGAUGUUCUUCCCGCGGGUAAUCUAUGUCCUACUAGUGUUGAUGAG